CCACCAUCUCGGGACUCCUUGGUCUGACCUACCGUGGAUAUUCCUGCAGACCCUGCGGGAGGGGACAGGGACAAGCGAGACACCUCAGAAAGCAAGGGUGAAUUGCAGCACGUAGAUAAGCUCCAAAUUCCCAUCUGUGUUGUACUUAAGUUCCCCUGCAAGUCUACAAGGGCUAUUGAAGUUGUAUCCCACAGGAAGAGGAUCAGGUUCAAGAGAAGCAACACUGUAAAAAAAGAAGAUAGAUAUACCUCUGUGUGGAAAUGACAGACUUACAACAAGCACCUUUUCCAGGACCAGGAUCAGACACACACCCACAGUAAGCCUGAACCUCUGAUGGGGGAGUAGCAACAGUCAUAUGGUCAGGAUCUGGAAGGCAAAGAACAUGAAGAAAUCUCUUGUAAAUAAAGACAACARUAAAAGUGCUAUGAGAGCACCAGAACUGUUAAUGCCCCUCCAAAGUUGGCUUCUGCUCCCCGUGCUCCUCAAGGUGAGCAAUAUUUAGCCUAAGGAAGCUUUUCUCCUUCUGAAGUGAGAAAACCUGAGAGUUUCAAGACUGCCUAAGCUAUCUGGAUACCCCCCUCCCGAUGGUUUUCUAAGUUAGUCAAAAGGCCUUUCUAAAAAGGCAGCCCUCUCAUCUUCAAGUGCUGCCGCAUGGAGCAUAGGGCUUAGGCAUCUCUUCCACCCCGCCCCAAGAUGUACACAGACCUGCUGCACGGCCGCGGUCGGGGUUCAGACGCCCGGCAGCAAGGCGGCGGGGGCAGCAAAUAGAGCGGGGGCGGCCCGGGCGCGCCGUGAGGCGACGCGGCAGCGGCGCAGGGUGCCGGGCGGGGGGCAGUG
rnacentral:lncRNA from 1 species